UACGUAGGGUGCAAGCGUUGUCCGGAAUUAUUGGGCGUAAAGAGCUCGUAGGCGGUUCGUCGCGUCGGCUGUGAAAACCCGGAGCUCAACUCCGGGCCUGCAGUCGAUACGGGCGGACUCGAGUUCGGCAGGGGAGACUGGAAUUCCUGGUGUAGCGGUGGAAUGCGCAGAGUAUCAGGAGGAACACCAAUAGCGAAGGCAGCUCGCUGGGACGUUACUGACACUGAGGCGCGAAAGCGUGGGGAGCGAACAGGA
rnacentral:rRNA from 1 species